rnacentral:rRNA from 1 species
GGCUAACGCUGGCGGCGUGUCUUAGCCAUGCAAGUCGAGCGGACUUAUGGGGGUAACUUAUAAGUCAGCGGCGGACGGCGGAGUAACACGUAGCUAACCUACCCUCUGGACGGGGGAUAACCUACCGAAAGGUGGGCUAAUACCCGAUGUAGUCAUCCUGUAUAGGGGUGAUGAAAGGUGGGCUUCUGUUUACAAGCUCAUGCUGGAGGAGGGGGCUGCGGCCUAUCAGGUAGUUGGUAGGGUAAUAGCCUACCAAGCCGAUGACGGGUAGCCGGCCUGAGAGGGUGACCGGCCCGAGGGGCACUGAGAUACGGGUCCCACUCCUACGGGAGGCAGCAGGCUAGAAAUUUGGGCAAUGGGGGAAACCCUGACCCAGUGACGCCGCGUGCAGGAGGAGCCCUUCGGGGUGUAAACUGCUGUCGUGUAGGGAGAAGGGUACUAAGGUGAACAAUCUUAGUACUUGACGGUACUACAGGAGGAAGCCCAGGCUAACCUCGUG